GGUAAAUUCCAUCUAAAGCUAAAUAUUGGUGCGAGACCGAUAGCAAACAAGUACCGUGAGGGAAAGAUGAAAAGAACUUUGAAAAGAGAGUUAAAGAGUACCUGAAACUGCUGAAAGGGAACCGAAUCGUUUCCAGUGUCUAUAAUCCGUGGUAUAUUUCAUUGGCGAGUGUGUGCGUGCGUGUAUUGUGGCAGUGGCUUUUAGCUGCGCUCGGUAUGUGUGCUGCGUGUACUUGCUAGUGCCCUGUGCUGCGGUGGGACGUCAAGGUCAGUUCGUAUACUGCGGGAAAUGGCUGCCGAGGAGGUAGGGCUUACGCUUGCGUUUGUCUAUUAUAUCUUGGCGGACGAGUAGUCGCGGUUGGGACUGAGGUGUCUACAACGUGCUUUUGAGUGGGUCUGCGUCUCCGUGUGCGCCGUGUGCGGAUAGCUUGCUAUGUGCGUGUGGCUGUGUAUGGAUUGAUGCGGACUUUAACUUGUUGCCGUUCGGGACGUUGACGAAAUGGAGCGAUCCGACCCGUCUUGAAACACGGACCAAGGAGUCUAACAUGUGUGCAAGUGUUAGGGUGUCGAAACCCCAGCGCGAAAUGAAAGUAAAGGUCAGCGCAAGCUGUCUGAGGUAGGAAACGUUGCGGAUUUCGGUCUGCGAUGUGGCACUAUCGACCGAUCAUGAUCCUUCGUGGUGAAAGAUUUGAGUUUGAGCACAUAUGUUGGUACCCGAAAGAUGGUGAACUAUGCCUGAGUAGGGUGAAGCCAGGGGAAACUCUGGUGGAAGCUCGUAGCGAUUCUGACGUGCAAAUCGAUCGUCAAACUUAGGUAUAGGGGCGAAAGACUAAUCGAACCAUCUAGUAGCUGGUUCCCUCCGAAAUUUCCCUCAGGAUAGCUGCAACUUAUUUACGAUAGUUUUAUGAGGUAAAGCGAAUGAUUAGAGGAUUCGGGGAAGCAACUUUCUCGACCUAUUCUCAAACUUUAAAUCUGUAAGACCCGUAGGUUUCUUAAUUGAACUUACGGACGUGAAUAUCAAGUUGCUAGUGGGCCAUACGGG
rnacentral:rRNA from 1 species